GCUGGACCGACAUCAUCUACAAAAAUCUGUCCCAACUCUGGAAGCGAUUUCUGGCCAUGGGACAAAUGCACAAGCUACACUCCGUGUAUCUGCAUGCACCAACCUGUACAGUGGCGGCUAUAUGGGUCUUCCUAUUAAUUCGCAUGGUGAAUUUCUCAGGGUCCAAUUAACCCUUAACCCUGAUGAGCUGCUUAAAGCACAAUGCUUGGGGAAGGAUUUCCUUGCCAUCAUUCAACAUCUACAGCUGACCAUGCAUCACAUUUUUCUUCUGUUACAGCAGCUGAGCAAGGGUACGGCUUCAUCAAAAGCAACCAGAGUCAUCAAUCUCUACUUGCUGUGCCAAACAUAGAUGUCCUCAUGUGUAGCCUGCAAGAAGAAUUCCCUUUAAGUGAAUGUGGCCUAAGCAAUCAUUUAAGUAUUACCUUGCAAAUUAUCUUGUCUGAACAAUCUAGAAUUGACUGCAAACAAGUCUCUAAAUUUAUUACAUCUAAUAAAUUAAUAGAAAGACAAGUGGUCAGACUAACUUGCUUAAACUUGUACGUCUGUACUAUAGCCUGCUCCCUGCUGGACGCUGGAUAGUGCAAGAAGAAAAUUGUGUAUGUGAGAGCACUGAUAGAUGGAUUCAGUUCGACUAAGGAUUGGCAUGAGAGUAGAGAUCCCAACUUCAGAAGUUGAAGGAUUAAUAUGUAUCGAUCUAAUUACUACUCAUACCUUGGAUAGUUGAAGGAUUAAUAUACAUCAAUCUAAUUAAUAGAAGGCCAUUUGCUAUAACAUGAGAGAACGCACACCGAAAGUCAGAAAGAUCAAUGACCAAUAGAUGAUGAUGGAGCGAGACUUACCAACCGAGAAAGGCUCAUGGGGAGACCAUGGUACAAACAUAUGGUGAGCAUCAGAGUUGCAGGCUUGUUCAUAGUACUGUACUUGUAUGAAUUCUGAAAUUAGUCUAAAACUGACUACAAUGAUGGUUUUUCGCCUUCGGCAGAUUUAUGCGCCGUCGGACCAGGACGACUGGGGCAUCAAAGCCUUCCCCGGCAUCGUCUCGUCCAUGCUAAUGAGAGAAGCUCAAUAUGGUCGUAAACUUGGGGGUUGUUGCAUCAUGAGAUUUACAAGGGUGCAAGGGCCUUAUUUCUUAUGGAAUUGUAUAUUGUUAUUCAUAUGUGGAUUAUUGACUUGCCAAAUCAUUGACCUCCUAUAGUAUGAUCAGAUCAAUAUAAAGAGUGUGGAUUCUAUUUUUUUAACAAACUCUCAUAUCAAACCAUUGUCCAGUGUUUAUAUUGGUUGGUGGUAACAUCUACCUUAUAGUUAGGUGGCUAUUUGAUCAAAAUAGAAACUCUCAAGUCCGUAGACGACCUAUGAACACAGAGGAAGGUCUCAAAAGGCGCCCCACAGGUGCGCCCUGUUGGAAAUAUGCCCUAGAGGCAAUAAUAAAUUAGUUAUUAUUAUAUUUCUUAGUUCAUGAUAAUCGUUUAUUAUCCAUGCUAUAAUUGUAUUGAUUGGAAACACAAUACUUGUGUGGAUACAUAGACAAAACACUGUCCCUAGUAAGCCUCUAGUUGACUAGCUCGUUGAUCAAAGAUGGUCAAGGUUUCCUGGCCAUAGGCAAGUGUUGUCACUUGAUAACGGGAUCACAUCAUUAGGAGAAUCAUGUGAUGGACUAGACCCAAACUAAUAGACGUAGCAUGUUGAUCGUGUCAUUUUGUUGCUACUGUUUUCUGCGUGUCAAGUAUUUGUUCCUAUGACCAUGAGAUCAUAUAACUCACGGACACCUGAGGAAUGCUUUGUGUGUAUCAGACGUCGCAACGUAACUGGGUGACUAUAAAGAUGCUCAACAGGUAUCUCCGAAGGUGUUCGUUGAGUUAGUAUGGAUCAAGACUGGGAUUUGUCACUCCGUGUAACGGAGAGGUAUCUCGGGGCCCACUCGGUAAUACAACAUCACACACAAGCCUUGCAAGCAAUGUGACUUAGUGUAAGUUGCGGGAUCUUGUAUUACGGAACGAGUAAAGAGACUUGCCGGUAAACGAGAUUGAAAUAGGUAUGCGGAUACUGACGAUCGAAUCUCGGGCAAGUAACAUACCGAAGGACAAAGGGAAUGACAUACGGGAUUAUAUGAAUCCUUGGCACUGAGGUUCAAACGAUAAGAUCGUAGAAUAUGUAGGAUCCAAUAUGGGCAUCCAGGUCCCGCUAUUGGAUAUUGACCGAGGAGUCUCUCGGGUCAUGUCUACAUAGUUCUCGAACCCACAGGGUCUGCACACUUCAGGUUCGACGUUGUUUUAUGCGUAUUUGAGUUAUAUGGUUGGUUACCGAAUGUUGUUCGGAGUCCCGGAUGAGAUCACGGACGUCACGAGGGUUUCUGGAAUGGUCCGGAAAUGAAGAUUGUUAUAUAGGAUGACCUCAUUUGAUUACUGGAAGGUUUUCGGAGUUACCGGGAAUGGACCGGGAAUGACGAAUGGGUUCUGGGAGUUCACCGGGGGGGGGGGGGCAACCCACCCCGGGGAAGCCCAUAGGCAUUGGGGGUGCCGCACCAGCCCUUAGUGGGCUGGUGGGACAGCCCAAAAGAGCCCUAUGCGCAUUGGAAGAAAAAUCAAAGAGAAAAAAAAGAACAAGGUGGGAAAGGGAAGAAGGACUCGACCUUCCAAACCAAGUAGGACUCGGUUUGGGAGGGGGAGACCUUCCCCCUUGGUUCGGCCGACCCCCUUGGGAGUCCUUGGACCCCAAGGCAAGGCUCCCCCCUCCUCCUCCUAUAUAUAGUGGGGUUUUAGGGCUGAUUUGAGACAACUUUGCCACGGCAUCCCGACCACAUAUCUCCACGGUUUUACUUCUAGAUCGCGUUUCUACGGAGCUCGGGCGGAGCCCUGCUGAGAUAAGAUCAAACCACCAACCUCCGGAGCGCCGUCACGCUACCGGAGAACUCUUCUACCUCUCCGUCUCUCUUGCUGGAUCAAGAAGGCCGAGAUCAUCGUCGAGCUGUACGUGUGCUGAACGCGGAGGUGCCGUCCGUUCGGCACUAGAUCGUGGGACUGAUCGCGGGAUAGUUCGCGGGGCGGAUCGAGGGACGUGAGGACGUUCCACUACAUCAACCGCGUUCACUAACGCUUCUGCUGUACGGUCUACAAGGGUACGUAGAUCACACAUCCCCUCUCGUAGAUGGACAUCACCAUGAUAGGUCUUCGUGCGCGUAGGAAAUUUUUUGUUUCCCAUGCGACGUUCCCCAACAGUGGCAUCAUGAGCUAGGUUCAUGCGUAGAUGUCUUCUCGAGUAGAACACAAAAGUUUUUGUGGGCGGUGAUGUGCGUUUUGCUGCCCUCCUUAGUCUCUUCUUGAUUCCGCGGUAUUGUUGGAUCGAAGCGGCUCGGACCGACAUUACUCGUACGUUUACGAGAGACUGGUUUCAUCGCUACGAGUAACUCCGUUGCUCAAAGAUGACUGGAGGGUGUCAGUUUCUCCAACUUUAGUUGAAUCGGAAUUGACCGAGGAGGUCCUUGGAUGAGGUUAAAUAGCAAUUCAUAUAUCUCCGUUGUGGUGUGUGCGUAAGUAAGAUGCGAUCCUACUAGAUACCCAUGGUCACCACGUAAAACAUGCAACAAAAAAAUUAGAGGACGUCUAACUUGUUUUUGCAGGGUAUGCUUGUGAUGUGAUAUGGCCAACGAUGUGAUGUGAUAUAUUGGAUGUAUGAGAUGAUCAUGUUGUAAUAGAUAAUAUCGACUUGCAUGUCGAUGGUACGGCAACCGGCAGGAGCCAUAGGGUUGUCUUUAUAACUAACGUUUGUGCUUGCAGAUGCGUUUACUAUUUUGCUAGGAUGUAGCUUUAGUAGUAAUAGCAUGAGUAGCACGACAACCCCGAUGGCGACACGUUGAUGGAGAUCAUGGUGUGGCGCCGGUGACAAGAAGAUCGUGCCGGUGCUUUGGUGAUGGAGAUCAAGGAGCACGUAAUGAUGGCCAUAUCAUGUCACUUAUGAAUUGCAUGUGAUGUUAAUCCUUUUAUGCACCUUAUUUUGCUUAGAACGACGGUAGCAUUAUGAGGUGAUCUCUCACUAAAAUUUCAAGACGAAAUUGUGUUCUCCCCGACUGUGCACCGUUGCUACAGUUUGUCGUUUCGAGACACCACGUGAUGAUCGGGUGUGAUAGACUCAACGUUCACAUACAACGGGUGCAAAACAGUUGCGCACGCGGAACACUCGGGUUAAGCUUGACGAGCCUAGCAUGUGCAGACAUGGCCUCGAAACACAUGAGACCGAAAGGUCGAUCAUGAAUCAUAUAGAUGAUAUGAUUAGCAUGGGGAUGCUUACCACUGAAACUAUGCUCAACUCACGUGAUGAUCGGACUUGAGCUAGUGUAAGUGGAUCAUGAACCACUCAAAUGACUAGAGAGAUGUACUUUUUGAGUGGGAGUUCUUAAGUAAUAUGAUUAAUUGAACUAAUUGUCAUGAACAUAGUCUAAUGGUCUUUGCGAAUUACGAUGUAGCUUGCGCUACAGCUCUACUGUUUUUUAUAUGUUCCUAGAGAAAAUUUAGUUGAAAGUUGAUAGUAGCAAACUUUGCAGACUAAGUCUGUAAAACCAAGGUUUGUCCUCGUUGCUGCACAGAAGGCUUAUGUCCUUAAUACAUCACUCGGUGUGCUGCACCUCGAGCGUCGUCUGUGGAUGCUGUGAACAUCCGACAUACACGUUUCUGAUGACUACACGAUAGUUCAGUGCAAAAUACUUAAUGGCUUAGAAGCAAGGCGCCGAAGACGUUUUGAAACAUCGCGAAACAUAAGUGAUGUUCUAAAGAGAUGAAAUUGUGAUUUCAUGCUUGUGCCCUUGUUAAGAGGUACAAGACCUCCGACAAGAUUCUUUGUCCAUAAAGUAAAGGAGAAAAGCUCAAUCGUUGAGCGUGUGCUCAGAUUGUCUGAGUAUGACAAUCGCUUGAAUCAAGUGGGAGUUAAUCUUCCAGAUGAGACAGUGAUGGUUCUCCAAAGUCACUGCCACCAAGCUGUGAGAGCUUCGUGAUGAACUAUAACAUAUCAAGGAUAGAUACUAUGAUCUUUGAGUGAUUCGCGAUGUUUGACACUGCGAAAGUAGAAAUCAAGAAGGAGCAUCAAUAGCUGAUGGUUAGUAAAACCACUAAGUUUCGAGAAAGGCAAGGGCUAGAAGGGAUACUUCGUGAAACGGCAAAACAGUUGCUGCACUAAUGAAGAGACCCAAGAUUAAACCCAAACCUGAGACUAAGUGCUUCUGUAAUGAGGGGAACAGUCACUGAGGCGGAGCAACUCUAGAUACUUGGUAGAUAAGAAGACUGGCAAAAGUCGAGAGAAGUAUAUUUGAUAUACAUGAUGUUGAUGUGUACUUUACUAGUACUCCUAGUAGCACGAGGGUAUUGGAUACCGGUUCGGUUGCUAAGUGAUUAGUAACGCGAAAUAAAAGCUACGACAUAAACGGAGACUAGCUAAAGGCGAGGUGACGAUACGUGUUGGAAGUGUUUCCAAGGUUGAUAUGAUCAAACGUUGCACGCUCCCUCUACCAUCGGGAUUAGUGUUAAACCUAAAUAAUUGUUAUUUGGUGCUUGCGUUAAGCAUGAACAUGAUUGGAUCGUGUUUAUUGCAAUACGAUUAUUCAUUUAAAGAAAAUAAUGGUUACUCUAUUUUCUUGAAUAAUCACCUUCAAUGGUUUAUUGAAUCUCGAUCGUAGUGUUACACAUGUUCAUGAUAUUGGUGCCAAAAGAUACGAGUUAAUGAUGAUAGUACCACUUACUUGUGGCACUGCCGCUUGAGUCAUGUUGGUAUAAAUUGCAUGAAGCGGCUCCAUGCUGAUGGAUCUUUUUACUCACCUGAUUUCGAAUCACUAGUGACAUGCAAAUCAUACCACAUGAGCAAGGCCUUGUUUUCAUUGAGAUGAAAUAAGAUAGUAACUUGUUGAAAGUGAUACAUUUUUAUGUAUGCAGUCCAAUGGGUGCUGAGGCACACAGUGGAUAUCAUUAUGUUCCUACUUCACUGACGAUUUGAGUAGAUACAGGAGUAUUUACUUAAUGAAUCACAAAGUCUGAAAUAUUGAAAAGUUCAAUUCUGUUUCAGAGUGAAGUUCGUUGUAACAAGGGGAUAAAUUGUCUACGAUAUGAUCAUAGAAAUGAAUAUCUGAGUUACGAGUUUUGGUACGCAGUUAAGACAAUGUGGAAAUUGUUUCGCAGUUCAUGUCACCUGGAACAUCAUAGUGUGAUGAUGUGUCUGAACGUCAUAGCCACGCACUAUUUGGUAUGGUGCAUACUAUGAUGUCUCUUAUCGAAUUACCACUAUCGUUUAUGGGUUAUGCAUUAGAGAUAACCGCAUUCACUUUAAAUAGGGCACCGCGUAUUUCCGUUGAGAUGACACAGUAUAGACCGAGGUUUAGAGAAAUCUAAACUGUCGUUUCUUGAAAGUUUGGGGCUUCAACACUUAUGUGAAAAAGUUUCAGUCUGAUAAGCUCGAACCCAAAGCGGAUAAAUGCAUCUUCGUAGGAUAUCCAAAACAGUUGGGUACAUCUCCUAUCUCAGAUCCGAAAGCAAAGUGUUUGUUUCUAGAAACGGAUCCUUUCUCGAGGAAAGGUUUCUCUCGAAAGAAUUGAGUGGGAGGGUAGUAGAACUUGAUGAGGUUAUUGAACCAUCACUUCAACCAGUGUGUAGCAGGGCGCAGGAAGUUGUUCCUGUGGCGCCUACACCAAUUGAAGUGGAAGCUGAUGAUGGUGAUCAUUGAGCUUCGAAUCAAGUUACUACAAACCUCGUAGGUCGACAAGGUCGCGUACUACUGCAGAGUAGUACGGUACCCUGUCUUGGAGGUCAUGUUGUUGAGCAAACGUGAACCUAAGAGUUAUGGAGAAAGCAAUGGUGGGCCCGGAUUCCGACAAAUGGGUGGAGGCGAUGAAAUCCGAGAGAGGAUCCAUGUGUGAAAACAAAGUGUAGACUUUGGUAAAACUACUUGAUGGUCAUAGGACUAUUGAGUAAAAAUGGAUCUUUAAAAGAAGACAGACGAUGAUGGUGAUAAGUCACUUUUAAGAAAAGCUUGACUUGUCGCAAAGAUGUUUUCGACAAGAUCAAACAGUUGACUAUGAUGAGACUUUCUCACUCGUAGCGAUGCUAGAGGUCUGUUAGAAUUGUGUUAGUUGUUGAUGCAUUAUUUAUGAAAUAUUGCACGUAGGAUGUCAAAACAUUGUUUUCUCGACGGUUUCCUUGAGCAAACAUUGUAUGUGAUACAACCAGAAGGUUUUGUCGAUCCUAAAGAUACUAGCAAGUAUGCAAGUUCCAGUGAUCCUUCAAUGGACUGGUGCAAGCAUCUCGGAGUUGGAAUAUACACUUUGAUGAGAUGAUCAAAGAUUUUGGGUUUGUACAAGGUUUAUGAGAAACUUGUAUUUCCAAAGAAGUGAGUGGGAGCACUAUAGAAUUUCUGAUAAGUAUAUGUGGUUGACAUAUUGUGGAUCAGAAGUAAUGUAGAAUUUCUGUAAAGCAUAUAAGGUUGUUUGAAAGGAGUUUUCAAAGGAAUACCUGGAUUGCGCUACUUGAACGUUGAGCAUCAAAGAUCUAUGGAGAUAGAUCAAAAAGCGCUUAAUGAAAGUUUCAACAAAAUGCAUGCCUUGACAAGUUUUUGAAGGAGUUCAAAGUAGAUCAGCAAAGAAGGAGUUCUUGGUUGCGUUGUAAGGUGUGAAUUUGAGUAAGACUCAAAACCUGACCACAGCAGAAUAAAGAGAAUAGACGAAGGUCGUCUUCUAUGCCUUAGCCGUAGACUCUAAAGUAUGCCAUGCUGAGUACCGCACCUGAUGUGUGCCUUGACUCAAAGUCUGUUGAGAGGUACAGAAAGUGAUCCAUGAUUGAAUCACUGAUCAGCGGUCAAAGUUAUCCUUAGUAACUAAAUAGACUAAGGAAUUUUUCUCGAUUAUGGAGGUGGUUAAAGAGUUUGUCGUAAAGGGUUACGUCGAUGCAAGCUUUGACACUAAUCCGAAUAACUAUGAGUAGUGAAACGGAUUCGUAUAGUAGAGUAGAUAUUUGGAGCAUUUCCGAAUAGCACGUAGUAGCAGCAUCUAUAAGAUGACAUAAAGAUUUGUAAAGAACGCACGGAUCUGAAAGUUUCAGAACCGUUGACUAAAACCUCUCUCACGAGCAAGACGUGAUCAGACCCCAUAACUAUAUGGGUGUUGGAUUCGUUGGAAUCACAUGGUGAUGUGAACUAGAAUAUUGACUCUAGUGCAAGUGGGAGACUGUUGGAAAUAUGCCCUAGAGGCAAUAAUAAAUUAGUUAUUAUUAUAUUUCUUAGUUCAUGAUAAUCGUUUAUUAUCCAUGCUAUAAUUGUAUUGAUUGGAAACACAAUACUUGUGUGCUUACAUAGACAAAACACUGUCCCUAGUAAGCCUCUAGUUGACUAGCUCGUUGAUCAAAGAUGGUCAAGGUUUCCUGGCCAUAGGCAAGUGUUGUCACUUGAUAACGGGAUCACAUCAUUAGGAGAAUCAUGUGAUGGACUAGACCCAAACUAAUAGACGUAGCAUGUUGAUCGUGUCAUUUUGUUGCUACUGUUUUCUGCGUGUCAAGUAUUUGUUCCUAUGACCAUGAGAUCAUAUAACUCACGGACACCUGAGGAAUGCUUUGUGUGUAUCAGACGUCGCAACGUAACUGGGUGACUAUAAAGAUGCUCAACAGGUAUCUCCGAAGGUGUUCGUUGAGUUAGUAUGGAUCAAGACUGGGAUUUGUCACUCCGUGUAACGGAGAGGUAUCUCGGGGCCCACUCGGUAAUACAACAUCACACACAAGCCUUGCAAGCAAUGUGACUUAGUGUAAGUUGCGGGAUCUUGUAUUACGGAACGAGUAAAGAGACUUGCCGGUAAACGAGAUUGAAAUAGGUAUGCGGAUACUGACGAUCGAAUCUCGGGCAAGUAACAUACCGAAGGACAAAGGGAAUGACAUACGGGAUUAUAUGAAUCCUUGGCACUGAGGUUCAAACGAUAAGAUCGUAGAAUAUGUAGGAUCCAAUAUGGGCAUCCAGGUCCCGCUAUUGGAUAUUGACCGAGGAGUCUCUCGGGUCAUGUCUACAUAGUUCUCGAACCCACAGGGUCUGCACACUUCAGGUUCGACGUUGUUUUAUGCGUAUUUGAGUUAUAUGGUUGGUUACCGAAUGUUGUUCGGAGUCCCGGAUGAGAUCACGGACGUCACAAGGGUUUCCGGAAUGGUCCGGAAAUGAAGAUUGAUAUAUAGGAUGACCUAAUUUGAUUACUGGAAGGUUUUCGGAGUUACCGGGAAUGGACCGGGAAUGACGAAUGGGUUCUGGGAGUUCACCGGGGGGGGGGGGGGGCAACCCAUCCCGGGGAAGCCCAUAGGCAUUGGGGGUGCCGCACCAGCCCUUAGUGGGCUUGUGGGAUAGCCCAAAAGGGCCCUAUGCGCAUUGGAAGAAAAAUCAAAGAGAAAAAAAAGAACGAGGUGGGAAAGGGAAGAAGGACUCCACCUUCCAAACCAAGUAGGACUCGGUUUGGGAGGGGGAGACCUUCCCCCUUGGUUCGGCCGACCCCCUUGGGAGUCCUUGGACCCCAAGGCAAGGCUCCCCCCUCCUCCUCCUAUAUAUAGUGGGGUUUUAGGGCUGAUUUGAGACAACUUUGCCACGGCAUCCCGACCACAUAUCUCCACGGUUUUACCUCUAGAUUGCGUUUCUGCGGAGCUUGGGCGGAGCCCUGCUGAGAUAAGAUCACCACCAACCUCCGGAGCGCUGUCACGCUGCCGGAGAACUCUUCUACCUCUCCGUCUCUCUUGCUGGAUCAAGAAGGCCGAGAUCAUCGUCGAGCUGUACGUGUGCUGAACGCGGAGGUGCCGUCCGUUCGGCACUAGAUCGUGGGACUGAUCGCGGGAUAGUUCGCGGGGCGGAUCGAGGGACGUGAGGACGUUCCACUACAUCAACCGCGUUCACUAACGCUUCUGCUGUACGGUCUACAAGGGUACGUAGAUCACACAUCCCCUCUCGUAGAUGGACAUCACCAUGUUAGGUCUUCGUGCGCGUAGGAAAUUUUUGUUUCCCAUGCGACGUUCCCCAACACGCCCCUGCCCCUAGUCUAGUUUAAAUGGACGCUACACAAGGAUGAUCUCACGGUUUCGCACAGUGGAAAUAAAUGCUGAGAGGCUGAAUGCCCUAAUCAAGUGUCAUAAAAGAGGAACCAUAAGUGUGCAAGCAAUCAGCUAGCAGCUUGAACAUAGUCCUUGAAAUUUUGCUUAUGCAAAUGUCACAUGCUAAGGUAUCUGUAAAGUACUUAUCAUAAAUCAAUAAACACUCCGUUGGCCAGCUGAGUCUACAUCCGAAGGGUCAAUCCAGAAGCUUGGACGGAAAAUAAUAAAAUAAAAAAGAGCAGAGAAAGGAGUACCGCGAGAGACGCUCUUUCAGAUCUUCAUGCCUUUUG
rnacentral:lncRNA from 1 species